rnacentral:tRNA from 1 species
UCCUCGAUAGUAUAGUGGUCAGUAUCCCCGCCUGUCACGCGGAGACCGGGGUUCAAUUCCCCGUCGGGGAG